AGCCCAUGCCCUGGUUUCCAGCUCAGAUCACUGAACCGAAAAUGUGCCUGUCCACGGAGACUUUCACCUUAGACGGCAGUCAGAUGCCUUCUUGUCUUUUACAUCUCUCCUCUGCUCUGAUACUUCGCCCUUGAAAGCAGGCUUCUGAGUGGCUCGGUAGUUGAAGCUGAUGGACUGCAAAAACAAUACGAGGUCUUCAGGGAGCACCCUUCUGAACUCUUGCAAGUGAUUAUAAUGGUGGUGAUAAAACCAGUACUCACAUGUGCUUCACCCAUCAGUGUGAUCAUGAUGGUGACCUGUGAGCAGAGCCUGGAUGAAGAGUCUCUGAACCUGAGAAAGAAAUGAGCUGUGCUCUUACCCUUGGAACUCAGCCACUGGGCUCUGAAAAAGUCUGAGCCAGCCCAUGUGGAGAGGCCCUUGUGAAGAGGACCUGAGACCCUCCAGCCAGCUCUCAGCAUCAACUUCCAGACUGCCUUCCCUGGUGGUUUAAAGGUUAAAGCGUCUGCCUCCAACGCGGGAGACCUGGUUUCGAUCCCUGGGUCGGGAAGAUCCCCUGGAGAAGGAAUUGGUAACCCACUCCAGUAUUCUUGCCUGGAGAAUCCCAUGAACGGAGAAGCCUGGUAGGCUACAGGCUACAGGCCAUGGGAUCCCAAAGAGUCGGACACGACUGAGCAACUUCACUUUCACUUUCCUUUUCCGCCGCAGGACCUUUGUACAUAGGCUUUCCUUUUAUCUUAUGUUACCUCCAUGCCUCAGCCCCCAGAUAAUCCAGAAAUUCUUUCCUCAGAACUCAGUUCAAUCAUCAUUCCUUCCUAACAGAUUUCUCUGUCCUCCCUGACUAGAUCAAUUGUAGCAUUUUAAUAUAACUGUCUCUAGCCAUCAGUUACUUACUUCUAUGUUUUUGUUCUUUCUCUCUUUCUCCCUAUCCCCUAUAUCCAUUUAAUUUCUAUCUCCCCCUCUAGACUAAACUCUAAGAACAUAGAAAUCAUGUCUUUUUUCUAUGUUCAACAAUGCCCACUUAACACUUAGCACAAUUCCUGGUAUGUAAAAGAUGCCUAAUAAGUGAAUAAAUAUAUAAACAUAA
ensembl:lncRNA